CAGCCACAUCAUAUUGAAACACCAUUUCACAUAUGAUCACUGAAGUUAAGCAACAUCAAGCCUAGUCAGUACCUCGAUAGCUGACUGUUUGGGAAUACCAAGUGCUGUUA